UACGAAGGGUGCAAGCGUUAAUCGGAAUUACUGGGCGUAAAGCGCGCGUAGGUGGUUCAGUAAGUUGGAAGUGAAAUCCCCGGGCUCAACCUGGGAACUGCUUUCAAAACUGCUGAGCUAGAGUACGGUAGAGGGUGGUGGAAUUUCCUGUGUAGCGGUGAAAUGCGUAGAUAUAGGAAGGAACACCAGUGGCGAAGGCGACCAUCUGGACCGAAACUGACACUGAGGUGCGAAAGCGUGGGGAGCAAACAGG
rnacentral:rRNA from 1 species